UACGACUACAUAUCAGGCAUAUCAAUAAGCGGAGGAAAAGAAACUAACAAGGAUUCCCCUAGUAACGGCGAGUGAAGCGGGAAGAGCUCAAAUUUGAAAUCUUCAAGGCUCUACCUUGACGAAUUGUAGUUUAAAGAAGUGUUUUCGGUUAGAGGAGUAGUAAAAGUUCUUUGGAAUAGGACAUCAUAGAGGGUGAGAAUCCCGUAUUUGACCAUUAUUUCCAGCUCUGUGAUACACUUUCAAAGAGUCGGAUUGUUUGGGAAUGCAGUCCAAAAUGGGUGGUAAAUUUCAUCUAAAGCUAAAUAUUGGCGAGAGACCGAUAGCGAACAAGUACCGUGAGGGAAAGAUGAAAAGAACUUUGAAAAGAGAGUUAAACAGUACGUGAAAUUGUCAAAAGGGAAGCGUUUGACACCAGUGUUGUUUCUACGAAAAUCAAUUUAUGAUGGCUUGAUGCUAAGCUUUAAGACUUUAUCCGCUUGUUGUUUAGUUUUCUUGUCUUUGUGAAUGCACUUUUCGUGGAACAAGUCAACAUCAAUUUCUUUUGCUGUAAAAGGGUAAGAGGAAGGUGGCUUCGGCUUCGGUUGAAGUGUUUAUAGCCUUUUAUCUCUGCAGUCGGAGAGAUUGAGGUCUGCAGCGUAGACUCUUCGGGGUUAGAUACGUCGGUGCUAAGCUAUAGCUUUUCAUAGACAACUUGUUGACUAUGUUUAGUCAUGUGGCUUACCCGCUGGCGCUAUUUUACCUACGCUUAGGAUGUUGACACACGCGCGUGCUCG
rnacentral:rRNA from 1 species